GACAGAAAAAAAAUGUACCAAGAAUUAUAACACACGUGCACAGCCAUUUUUCUGCUCAUUAAACCUUUUCUUUAGUGCCAUUGCUGUUGCCGUUGGGGUUUUCUUAAGCUCCCUAUUUAGAAGGGGGUGGGUGGAUUGGGUGGCUAGCCACCCUGUCUUUGGAGAAGCAAUAAAUAAAUAAAAUUGAAAAAGAUUAUGAAUAUUAUGGUAGAGAGAGGUACUGUGACGGUGAAGCAUCUUACCUGAAGAAGACAAAAAACUGGAUGACCGGCUUGAACUUGAAACUGAUUAGAACCACUUGAUAAUUUCAAAGUCCAAUGCACUUUGAGUUUAAAAAUUGCAUAUUAACAUAAUAGGCAAUUUAUAGUUUGUUUCAGGACCUUCUAGGACUUUCUAAAAAAAGGAAAACGAAGAAAAAAUGGACCUUCUAUCUAGAAAAAUCUAUGAAACUUUGAAUAUUUUUACCCCAUGAGCUCCCACCCUUGAUAGAGUGAGGGCAUUAUAAGGCUCUCACUUUUGUACACCUCUGUGUAUAUCAUGCCAAUUGUCCACUACUGGUAUGGUUUUGUAAUCGUGUACCAGCACUCAAGAACCAAUACAAAAGACCCAACAGUAUACGACAGCUAAACAAAUGCUUGUAACGAAAGACAGUACAGUGGUUAUUCCCUCAGUGUACCGAUACACCAGGACACAACCACUGGUAUCAACAGUAUCAACAGGUUGUGCUAACAACCUAAAAACAUUUUCAGUUAAUUCCAAAUGACUCAAAUGAUCUCUUUUGUAUGUAGAAGCAAGGUUUUUCAAAAACUAUCUCGAGACCAAGAUUUUUUACUUCCUUCAAGUCUCGUGUGCCUGCUGAGUUGGGGGGGUUUGCUCUAAAGCCUCGAAAGCCUGGGUACUAGGGAAAUCAGGGAGGCCUGGGACCUAAUGCAUUUACGCCCGGAAGAUGUUUUGCUCGUGAUCGAACACGCUGAAUGAAAGGGGAGAGAAUUUUGCUGAUGAAGCUUAAAUUAACCCUGAUUUUACUUCACAGUUUUCCAGGAACGUACAAACUACACAACCGUUAACAAUAGAAUAUCAGCUUCAUGUUUCAAGCGAUUGUAGAGUCCAUCUUUGAGCCCGGCGUUAACAGUCAACUCCUGAGAGCAAUCAAUGUUAUAUUCCUAUGUCUUGUUGUCGUCGUAAUAUUUCUGUUGACCGCUUAUGGCUUCAAUAUUCAUUUGCUAGUACUUUUGAUACUUACUACCGGCCUCCUACUAUCAAUAAACUGGUUUGUCAGUGAAUUAUGGAGAUCUGCAAGAGAUGCAGAAGUGGAGAAAAAAGAUGAAUAAGCCAGGCUUCUAACAAAUCCUGGAAGGGUAUUUAUAAAUUUGGUCCAUCAAUGGUACUUUUAUGAUGAGAACAAAGAGAUGCAUACAUCAUGACAGUGUCAUCGUAGCUCCUCUUCACUGAAGUACAAGAGAAAGAGCUAGUAACAUUUGAUUGAUGAUUAAACAGAGGAAGACAAAUUGCGGAAGACAUUAGGCUGACAGACCUGGAAACUUCUCAAGUUCUCAAGCAGUGAACAAAUAUCCAACACAGCGAUGCUAAUUUGGGACAUUGGCAGCUAUAGCUGGUUUAAGGUGAAGAAGCUCAAGAAUACAGCUAGCAUGAAAUCACAAGACUCAAUCCCUGGUUAGUAAGUGAAGUUGUGUCCAGUGUUCAAUCACUUCCUCCCUGUAAUCUCUGAGGGAUUUCUCCUAUAAAUGACCAUUGCAACUCACACGUACAUCAAAUAUAUCACACAUGUAUCAGUCCAGAAAUAGAUAUUAUUUUAUUGUUGUAACUAGCCAUUUUUGUAUUGUCAACCUAGCAAAGCAAAACCCCAUCACACAAGGGCUUUUAAAUGUAGUAUGUAGUAUCUAUACAUUUAUUUCUAAAGCAAAUGAACUUAAAUUAAUUACAUGUGAGAACGUCUGUCAGUGAAAAGUGGAGGGAUAAAUAACAAAUGUGUAUGGUUACUCCUUUACCAAGUUCUACUUACAGAUAAGAACAAUAGCGAGCAAAAGGGAAAAUUUACAACUUGCGUGACUUGCAAAAUCAACUUCAUAAUAGGUUACAAUUUGUUUAAUAGUGAGUUUAAAUCAUUUACGUGUAUUUACCUCUGAAGAACUUAGAAAGAAAUAUAUUGAUAACAUAAUAAAAUGGACUUCCUGGA